AAGGAUUUAUUUACACUGUGUGUUUCUGUAUCGGAAGGAGACAGAGGAGAGGUCUUUGUGAAGAGUCAUGGCCAGUAAUAACAAGGGAACUCCUGCUGAGAAAGUAGCUAAAGCAACCUCAAGCUAAGAAGAAAUCCAGAACUUUCACCAACCUGCACAUUACAAAUAUGUUUCACAGUAAUUCCCAGAGGAUGUGUUCAUGAACUACUUCUGACCUAGAAAAAUUACCCAGAAGAAGAGUGGAGACAGAAUGAAGAUCAAAUGAAAUAUAG
rnacentral:lncRNA from 1 species